rnacentral:rRNA from 1 species
AUUGAACGCUGGCGGCAGGCCUAACACAUGCAAGUCGAGCGGAUGAAGGGAGCUUGCUCCUGGAUUCAGCGGCGGACGGGUGAGUAAUGCCUAGGAAUCUGCCUGGUAGUGGGGGAUAACGUCCGGAAACGGGCGCUAAUACCGCAUACGUCCUGAGGGUGAAAGAGGGGGAUCUUCGGACCUCACGCUAUUAGAUGAGCCUAGGUCGGAUUAGCUAGUUGGUGGGGUAAAGGCCUACCAAGGGGAGAACCCGUAACUGGUCUGAUAGGAUGAUCAGUCACACUGGACCUGGAACACGGUCCAGAUUCCUCCGGGAGGAGGCAGAGGGGAAUAUUGGCCAUUGGGCGAAAGCCUGAUCCAGCCAUGCCGCGUGUGUGAAGAAGGUCUUCGGAUUGUAAAGCACUUUAAGUUGGGAGGAAGGGCAGUAAGUUAAUACCUUGCUGUUUUGACGUUACCAACAGAAUAAGCACCGGCUAACUUCGUG